rnacentral:rRNA from 2 species
UGCUAAUACCGCAUAACAACUUGGACCGCAUGGUCCGAGCUUGAAAGAUGGCUUCGGCUAUCACUUUUGGAUGGUCCCGCGGCGUAUUAGCUAGAUGGUGGGGUAACGGCUCACCAUGGCAAUGAUACGUAGCCGACCUGAGAGGGUAAUCGGCCACAUUGGGACUGAGACACGGCCCAAACUCCUACGGGAGGCAGCAGUAGGGAAUCUUCCACAAUGGACGAAAGUCUGAUGGAGCAACGCCGCGUGAGUGAAGAAGGGUUUCGGCUCGUAAAACUCUGUUGUUAAAGAAGAACAUAUCUGAGAGUAACUGUUCAGGUAUUGACGGUAUUUAACCAGAAAGCCACGGCUAACUACGUGCCAGCAGCCGCGGUAAUACGUAGGUGGCAAGCGUUGUCCGGAUUUAUUGGGCGUAAAGCGAGCGCAGGCGGUUUUUUAAGUCUGAUGUGAAAGCCUUCGGCUCAACCGAAGAAGUGCAUCGGAAACUGGGAAACUUGAGUGC